rnacentral:rRNA from 1 species
AAUUCGCCCUUGAGCACGUAGGUGGGUUUGUAAGUCAGGUGUGAAAGCCUUCUGUUCAACGGGAGAAUUGCAUCUGAAACUACGAAUCUUGAGUGUAGGAGGGGAGAAUGGAACUUCUGGUGGAGCGGUGAAAUACGUAGAUAUCAGAAGGAACGCCGGCGGCGAAAGCGAUUCUCUGGCCUAUUACUGACACUCAGUGUGCGAAAGCUAGGGGAGCAAACGGGAUUAGAUACCCCGGUAGUCCUAGCCGUAAACGAUGGGCACUAAGUAGUGGGAAUUACCGAUGUUCUCUCUGCCGUAGCUAACGCAUUAAGUGCCCCGCCUGGGGAGUACGGCCGCAAGGCUAAAACUCAAAAGAAUUGACGGGGGCUCGCACAAGCGGUGGAGCAUGUGGCUUAAUUCGAUGCAACGCGAAAAACCUUACCGGGGCUUGACAUGUUAGAAGUAGGAACCCGAAAGGGUAACGAACGGUAUCCAGUCCGUAGCUAUCACAGGUGUUGCAUGGCUGUCGUCAGCUCGUGUCGUGAGACGUUGGGUUAAGUCCCCUAACGAGCGAAACCCUUGUUUUUAGUUACCAGCGGGUUGUGCCGGGUACUCUAGAAAGACUGCCGUCGUCAAGACGGAGGAAGGUGGGGAUGACGUCAAGUCAUCGUGGCCCUUAUGCCCCGGGCUGCACACGCGCUACAAUGGUCGGUACAAACGGAAGCGAAGCCGAGAGGUGAAGCGAAUCCAAGGGCGAAUU